AUUGAACGCUGGCGGCAGGCCUAACACAUGCAAGUCGAGCGGGUGACGGGAGCUUGCUCCUUGAUUCAGCGGCGGACGGGUGAGUAAUGCCUAGGAAUCUGCCUGGUAGUGGGGGACAACGUUUCGAAAGGAACGCUAAUACCGCAUACGUCCUACGGGAGAAAGCAGGGGACCUUCGGGCCUUGCGCUAUCAGAUGAGCCUAGGUCGGAUUAGCUAGUUGGGGGGGUAAUGGCUCACCGAGGCGACGAUCCGUAACUGGUCUGAGAGGAUGAUCAGUCACACUGGAACUGAGACACGGUCCAGACUCCUACGGGAGGCAGCAGUGGGGAAUAUUGGACAAUGGGCGAAAGCCUGAUCCAGCCAUGCCGCGUGUGUGAAGAAGGUCUUCGGAUUGUAAAGCACUUUAAGUUGGGAGGAAGGGCAGUAAGCUAAUACCUUGCUGUUUUGACGUUACCGACAGAAUAAGCACCGGCUAACUCUGUGCCAGCAGCCGCAGUAA
rnacentral:rRNA from 1 species